rnacentral:lncRNA from 1 species
AUAUAUAUAUGUGUAUAUAUAUAUAUAUAUAUAUAUAUAUAUAUUAUAUAUAUAUAUAUAUAAAGAAUGGGAACCCGUAUUGCUGAGUCUUUUCAUUUCACAGAGAAAUUAGAUAUCUAGAUUUUUAUAUUUAAAAAAUCUUCAGUUUAUGCAUCUGAAAACAAAGGGCUUUGUUCAGAGUCAGUGGCUUUCAUGCUAUUUUAUGCUACAGAAGUCUUUCUUCAAAUUAAAUUCUCCAUAGAACACAAGACUUUGAAACAGAGAGAACUAGAUUAUAUUUCCAAUCCCUGUGAUUUUAAAGGACCCCAAAUAUCAGUUGGCCGAGUUUGGACCUGUCAUCUAGCUGGUCGGCAUAUUUAAUGCCAAUUUAACUCAUUAGGUUAGCUCAAUUUAACACGCGUUAAGUGACUGCUAUGGAUGGACACUGUGUCCGAGUCAUGAUCUGUGCCUUCGUGGAGAUGUGAUCACACAGUUGACAGUCACACCUACUUCUUUCAGAGCAAGAAAGGUAAAACACCAUAGAGGUUGCAGAAUAUCCUGCUUGAAGAGGAAGAAGAAGGGGAAGAUGUCAGCCAAGGGGACAUUUCUGCUGUGCCUUGAAGGACAGACUGAAUUUUUCCAGGAAGUCCAGAAAGGCUGCCAGAGAUGUGGAAGAAAGCCCGAAGAGCAUGGCAUCACCAAAACCAAGAGGGGAGGACAUUUCAAGGAGAGAGACCUUUUCUGAUAUCCCUAGUGCCGAAGCAUGGGCUCUCACAUGCGUCCUCAGCACCAGGGGGCCUUAAGGGAAAUAAAAAGAUAAAACUUCAAAAGCAGCACCUAACAAUAUAGUGAAAACUGUGUGGCACAUUCCGACCCAGGUGCGUCACCCACUGUCAUGGAAUGCCAUUUUGCUGAGGCCAGGGCUUUGCCCUAGCACCUACUUAGUACCCAGCAAUUGUCAAAUCACCUUUCCAUGAAUCCUUAGUGAGGCUGCAUGGAAUAGUGGAGAGUGCAUAGGAGAUAGAGUCAGAGUGCCCAGAUUAAAGUCCUGGCUCUCCUAUUUACUGCUGUGUGACCUUUUAAGAGUUGUUUAAUCUCUCUGGGCUUCAGCACAUAUGGGCCCUGGAUAGCUUGGUGGGAAAAGAGUAGGCAAGAUAACAGCCCACAUGCUAGUCUACAUUCUGCCCCUUGCCAGUUCUCAGUCAAUAUGGCCUCAUAUGCCUUAGUUAUAAAACAAAGAUAAUAAUAUCUUCCCUGUUUGCACAGAGUUGCUGUUACAAGGAAAGGAGAGAUAGGAUGUGGAAAGCCCUGUGAACUAUACAGUCUUCAAAGACUGAGUGAACACUCACCCUCCUUGGGCCUCCUUACGUUAUCCAUUUGCCUGUAAAAUCUCAUUUAAAAAUUCAAACCUUUUCUCCCCAGCACUGAAAGUGUCAUCCACAGUCAUAUUUUCAGUUGCAUAAUUUCAGAUGGGCCGGGAACUCCAGAACACCUGGUCUCUGUCUGUCUUAGAGACACAGUGAGAAAACUCACAGCUGGGCAGAAAGCUGUUCUCCUCCCCUUUCCCUGCCCUCACAUUGUGUCCUCACUCCCUGGGUACACACAAUUGCCUUUGAAACACUAAAAAUUCAGGAACAAAAUUCAGCACAAAAAGUUGGAGCAUGAUUUCUACAAGUUCUUGAUCAUGGCUAGCCAUCUCUCUUUCUACCCCAUGGCAAUUCCCUCGCUCCCCAUCUGAUUUUUUUUUAAGCCUGCCUUUUCCUUUUGCCACACAAGCACACUCCGCAUUCUUCUUUCCUCCUGCUUGUUUUUAAAAUAAGAAUCUUUACAUCCACAGAGUUAAUAAAGUGUUCUCACAAAGGUGAAAUUACCA